rnacentral:miRNA from 1 species
UGUUGGUGAGGUUCAAUCCGA